UGAGGCUUAUUUGGAUAAAGAGAGCUCUUAUUUUUAUUCAUUUUAUUUUGAAAAUGAUGUGCCAUGUCUAACAAACUGACCUAAUAGGAAUGAUGAUUGACACAAUAUGAAUCUUUCAGCACCACUAUUUUCAAUAUUCAAUCAACUAGGUAAAGAAAGUCUGAAACUUGAUCCAGUUUGAUAUUUGAAUGAGGUGGAGCUUAAGUCAGCUACAACACAUGUAUUAUU
rnacentral:lncRNA from 1 species